rnacentral:rRNA from 1 species
UGGAUUAGUGGCGAACGGGUGAGUAACACGUGAGCAACCUGCCCCUGACUCUGGGAUAAGCGCUGGAAACGGCGUCUAAUACUGGAUAUGUCCCGUCACCGCAUGGUGUGCGGGUGGAAAGAUUUUUCGGUUGGGGAUGGGCUCGCGGCCUAUCAGCUUGUUGGUGAGGUAAUGGCUCACCAAGGCGUCGACGGGUAGCCGGCCUGAGAGGGUGACCGGCCACACUGGGACUGAGACACGGCCCAGACUCCUACGGGAGGCAGCAGUGGGGAAUAUUGCACAAUGGGCGGAAGCCUGAUGCAGCAACGCCGCGUGAGGGAUGACGGCCUUCGGGUUGUAAACCUCUUUUAGCAGGGAAGAAGCGAGAGUGACGGUACCUGCAGAAAAAGCACCGGCUAACUACGUGCCAGCAGCCGCGGUAAUACGUAGGGUGCAAGCGUUAUCCGGAAUUAUUGGGCGUAAAGAGCUCGUAGGCGGUCUGUCGCGUCUGCUGUGAAAUCCCGAGGCUCAACCUCGGGCUUGCAGUGGGUACGGGCAGACUAGAGUGCGGUAGGGGAGAUUGGAAUUCCUGGUGUAGCGGUGGAAUGCGCAGAUAUCAGGAGGAACACCGAUGGCGAAGGCAGAUCUCUGGGCCGUAACUGACGCUGAGGAGCGAAAGGGUGGGGAGCAAACAGGCUUAGAUACCCUGGUAGUCCACCCCGUAAACGUUGGGAACUAGUUGUGGGGUCCUUUCCACGGAUUCCGUGACGCAGCUAACGCAUUAAGUUCCCCGCCUGGGGAGUACGGCCGCAAGGCUAAAACUCAAAGGAAUUGACGGGGACCCGCACAAGCGGCGGAGCAUGCGGGAUUAAUUCGAUGCAACGCGAAGAACCUUACCAAGGCUUGACAUACACGAGAACGGGCCAGAAAUGGUCAACUCUUUGGACACUCGUGAACAGGUGGGUGCAUGGUUGUCGUCAGCUCGUGUCGUGAGAUGUUGGGUUAAGUCCCGCAACGAGCGCAACCCUCGUUCUAUGUUGCCAGCACGUUAUGUGGGAACUCAUGGGAAACUGCCGGGGUCAACUCGGGAGGAAGGUGGGGGAUGACGUCAAAUCAUCAUGCCCCUUAAUGUCUUUGGGGCCUUCAAGCGCAUGC